rnacentral:rRNA from 1 species
UACGUAGGUGGCGAGCGUUGUCCGGAUUUACUGGGCGUAAAGGGAGCGUAGGCGGACUUUUAAGUGAGAUGUGAAAUACCCGGGCUCAACUUGGGUGCUGCAUUUCAAACUGGAAGUCUAGAGUGCAGGAGAGGAGAAUGGAAUUCCUAGUGUAGCGGUGAAAUGCGUAGAGAUUAGGAAGAACACCAGUGGCGAAGGCGAUUCUCUGGACUGUAACUGACGUUGAGGCUCGAAAGCGUGGGGAGCAAACAGGAUUAGAUACCCUGGUAGU